rnacentral:rRNA from 1 species
CCAAUAGCGUAUAUUAAAGUUGUUGCAGUUAAAAAGCUCGUAGUUGAAUUUCGGGGUUAGUAGGUUGGUCAUGCCUCUGGUAUGUACUGGUCUCACUGAUUCCUCCUUCCUGAUGAGCCGUAAUGCCAUUAAUUUGGUGUUGCGGGGAAUUUGGACUGUUACUUUGAAAAAAUUAGAGUGUUUAAAGCAAGCUAACGCUUGAAUACAUUAGCAUGGAAUAAUGAAAUAGGACGUUCGAUCCUAUUUUGUUGGUUUCUAGGAUUGACGUAAUGAUUAAUAGUGAUAGUUGGGGGCAUUAGUAUUCAAUUGUCAGAGGUGAAAUUCUUGGAUUUAUUGAAGACUAACUACUGCGAAAGCAUUUGCCAAGGAUGUUUUCAUUAAUCAAGAACGAAAGUUAGGGGAUCGAAGACGAUCAGAUACCGUCGUAGUCUUAACCAUAAACUAUGCCGACUAGGGAUCGGAUGAUGUUAAUUUUUUAAUGACUCAUUCGGCGCCUUACG